rnacentral:rRNA from 1 species
GAUGAACGCUGGCGGCGUGCCUAAUACAUGCAAGUCGAGCGAACGGACGAGAAGCUUGCUUCUCUGAUGUUAGCGGCGGACGGGUGAGUAACACGUGGAUAACCUACCUAUAAGACUGGGAUAACUUCGGGAAACCGUAGCUAAUACCGGAUAAUAUUUUGAACCGCAUGGUUCAAAAGUGAAAGACGGUCUUGCUGUCACUUAUAGAUGGAUCCGCGCUGCAUUAGCUAGUUUGUAAGGUAACGGCUUACCAAGGCAACGAUGCAUAGCCGACCUGAGAGGGUGAUCGGCCACACUGGAACUGAGACACGGUCCAGACUCCUACGGGAGGCAGCAGUAGGGAAUCUUCCGCAAUGGGCGAAAGCCUGACGGAGCAACGCCGCGUGAGUGAUGAAGGUCUUCGGAUCGUAAAACUCUGUUAUUAGGGAAGAACAUAUGUGUAAGUAACUGUGCACAUCUUGACGGUACCUAAUCAGAAAGCCACGGCUAACUACGUG